rnacentral:rRNA from 1 species
GAUGAACGCUGGCGGCGUGCUUAACACAUGCAAGUCGAACGGAAAGGCCCAAGCUUGCUUGGGUACUCGAGUGGCGAACGGGUGAGUAACACGUGGGUGAUCUGCCCUGCACUUCGGGAUAAGCCUGGGAAACUGGGUCUAAUACCGGAUAGGACCACUUCUUGGACGUUGUGGUGGAAAGUUUUUUCGGUGUGGGAUGAGCUCGCGGCCUAUCAGCUUGUUGGUGGGGUAAUGGCCUACCAAGGCGUCGACGGGUAGCCGGCCUGAGAGGGUGUACGGCCACAUUGGGACUGAGAUCCGGCCCAGACUCCUACGGGAGGCAGCAGUGGGGAAUAUUGACCAAUGGGCGCCAGCCUGAUGCAGCGACGCCGCGUGGGGGAUGACGGCCUUCGGGUUGUAAAAUCCUUUCGCUAGGGACGAAGCGUUUUGUGACGGUACCUGGAGAAGAAGCACCGGCUAACUACGUG